CAGCCGCCGCGGUAAUACGUAGGUGGCAAGCGUUGUCCGGAAUUAUUGGGCGUAAAGCGCGCGCAGGCGGUUUCUUAAGUCUGAUGUGAAAGCCCCCGGCUUAACCGGGGAGGGUCAUUGGAAACUGGGAGACUUAGAGUGCAGAAGAGGAGAGUGGAAUUCCAUGUGUAGCGGUGAAAUGCGUAGAGAUGUGGAGGAACACCAGUGGCGAAGGCGACUCUCUGGUCUGUAACUGACGCUGAGGAGCGAAAGCGUGGGGAGCGAACAGGAUUAGAUACCCCGGUAGUCCCUGUCUCUUAUU
rnacentral:rRNA from 1 species